UACGGAGGGUGCAAGCGUUGUCCGGAUUUAUUGGUUUGAAAGGGUGCGCAGGUGGUAUUUAAGUCUGGUUUGAAAGCAGGUGGCUCAACCAUCUGAUGUGGCUGGAAACUGGAUAUCUUGAAUGGGUUGGCGGUAGCCGGAAUGGGUCAUGUAGCGGUGAAAUGCAUAGAUAUGACCCGGAACACCGAUUGCGAAGGCAGGCUACUACGACUUGAUUGACACUGAGGCACGAGAGCAUGGGUAGCGAACAGG
rnacentral:rRNA from 1 species